rnacentral:tRNA from 1 species
UCUAGGCUGGUGUAUUUAAGCACAUAAAAUUUUCGUUUUUAUAGAGGGGGGGAACUUCCCGCCUAGAU